AAAUUUUUGGGAGAGAGUAAACUACAUCAAACCUGGUCGAGUGGUCGACGGCACUAAUACACAACUUUGUGCAAUUGCAUUAGAGGGAUUUGCGACAUUAAACCCAGAGAGGUGGUCGAUGGCAGUUUAAGCGUCGUAGGUAUCCUAGUAAACUACUACCAGAGAGGGCAGAGGCAGCUGUACUACCAUGGAAACAUAGAGUAAAGUUCUUCUCUUUUUUCAAUCUAUUUCUUUUAUAUUUCCAUACCCAAUAAAAAAAAGUUACAUUUUUCAUUUGCAGCAACAUGCUAGCUCGAAAACUCUACCCAUCGUACAAGCUCAAACGCUUGCUUUCUGUUUAUCUUUUCAAUUCUUCUCACAUUUUUACUUCAAACUUUACCUCUUUUUCUACUUGUACUUCUUCAGCAACUGUAAUAUCAAACCCCUGUUUUCAAAACCCUCUUCUUCAAUUUCUACCAUGUUCACCAUUUUCAUUGCAAAUCAAUAAAAAAUUCUCUUCACAAUCCUUGGAUUUAAUUAGAGAAGGUAAUUUUGAUGAAGUAGCAUGUCAAGGCCACCAAAUCUGUCCUGGUUGUGGUGUCUAUAUGCAAGGUUUAGACCCUAAAUUGCCUGGCUUUUAUAUCAAACCCACCCUUAAAAACCCAGAUUACAAACUGCCCAUUAGUCGAAAAUUUGUCAUUGAUGAGCCCGAAGUGUCGAAUUCGCUUAAAAGGGGUGUUCUUAAUGAGCUUGUAGAACCCCCAAACCCUCCCUUAAACCCUAAUUUAUGUGAAAAGCCUGUUGUUUGUGCUAGGUGUCAUUCUUUAAGACAUUAUGGGAUGGUUAAAGAUGCUAGUGUGGAGAACUUACUGCCAGAUUUUGAUUUUGAUCAUACUGUUGGUAGGAAGCUGGCCACUGCUUCUGGUGGUAGGUCUGUGGUUUUGCUGGUUGUCGAUGCAGCUGACUUUGAUGGGUCGUUCCCGAAAAGGGUUGCCAAGUUGGUUUCAUCUACCAUUGAUCAGAAUUUGACGGCGUGGAAGGAAGGGAAAUCGGGGAAUGUUCCUAGGAUGGUGUUGGUGUUGUCCAAGCUUGAUUUGCUACCGAGUUCGUUAUCUCCCACUCGUUUGGAACAUUGGAUUAGGCAAAGGGCUCGGGAGGGUGGGGCGAAUAAGUUGACUAGUGUGCAUAUGGUCAGUGCCGUGAGAGAUUGGGGUGUGAAGAAUUUAAUUGAGGAUGUGGUGAGAUUGGUAGGGUCAAGAGGGAAUGUGUGGGCGAUAGGAGCUCAAAAUGCUGGGAAGUCUACUUUGAUUAAUGCAAUAGGAAAGCAUGUAACUGGAAAGGUAGCACCUAUAACAGAGGCACCUGUACCUGGGACUACAUUGGGGAUAAUAAGGUUGGAUGGUAUCCUUCCCGGAAAGGCAAAGUUGCUCGACACACCGGGUCUCUUACAUCCACAUCAUAUAGCUACUCGGUUGACAAGGGAUGAACAUAAGCUUGUGCAGAUUAAUAAGGAGGUGAAGCCAAGGACUUACAGGAUCAAGGUUGGUCAUACAAUUCAUAUAGCUGGGCUCGCAAGGCUAGAUGUUGAAGAAUUGUCUGUAGAAUCCAUUUAUGUUACCGUCUGGGCUUCACCUUUCUUACCGUUGCAUAUGGGAAAAACAGAGAAUGCUGGUAAAAUGAUAACAGAUCAUUUUGGUCGACAGUUGCAGGAGUUUAAAUGGGAAAUGAUUUGCUGAAAAUAAUACGAGGAAUUGGUGAUGGGAAGGGAUGCAAUGGGGAAUUCAUGCGAUUGGAAGAAGGUGAUAACUGAUAAGAUUUCUGAUACAAGUUUAUGUUACAUUUUAUAGCAAGAAUGUGUCAAAGAAAAAGGAUCAGAUGCUUUGUGUGAAGCAGUCAUCUCUUUCUGAAGUUUCUUCUAUUGGUUCUUUAACAGAGGAAUUUGGUCAUCAUGUUCAGUUGACAACACAAAUUAAAUCUAGUGACUCUGUGAAGUCAGCUGGUGUCGAGUUCUAUCCUUUGGGUGGUGAUCCACGGUUCUAGCCGAAUAUGGCUAUAAAUAUUAGGAGAGGUAAAAAUUCAGAGGAAGCAAUUGCAAGCUACUAUUCGGAACCAGAAAUAAAGACCGGCGCAACAUUUAGAGUUCAAGCAAUCAUUGCUAAGCCGUCUGCCUAUGGUUUGUCGUGGUGGUGGUGGAACUACAGCUGCUGGAUUGAGAGCUGGAAUGGGCUUUAGAAAUGCUGCUUGAUUUCUGUAUGAUGAAGAUGUAUACAAGUUCAUGAGAUAAUUCAAUGCCUUAACUUCCCUAUCAAGUUGCUCUGGUGAUUAUUUGUUAUAAUUGGUUCACCUGCUUGUGAUGGG